UUGUUGGUAAGGUAAAAGCUUACCAAGGCUUCGAUCAGUAGCUGGUCUGAGAGGACGGCCAGCCACACUGGGACUGAGACAUGGCCCAGACUCCUACGGGAGGCAGCAGUGGGGAAUUUUGGACAAUGGGGGCAACCCUGAUCCAGCCAUGCCGCGUGAGUGAAGAAGGCCUUCGGGUUGUAAAGCUCUUUCAGCCGGAACGAAACGGUUACGGUUAAUACCCGUGACUACUGACGGUACCGGAAGAAGAAGCACCGGCUAACUACGUGCCAGCAGCCGCGGUAAUACGUAGGGUGCAAGCGUUAAUCGGAAUUACUGGGCGUAAAGCGUGCGCAGGUGGUUUUGUAAGUCAGAUGUGAAAUCCCCGGGCUUAACCUGGGAACUGCGUUUGAAACUACAAGGCUAGAGUGUGGCAGAGGGGGGUGGAAUUCCGCGUGUAGCAGUGAAAUGCGUAGAUAUGUAGAGGAACACCGAUGGCGAAGGCAGCCCCCUGGGUCAACACUGACGCUCAGGCACGAAAGCAUGGGGAGCAAACAGGAUUAGAUACCCUGGUAGUCCAUGCCCUAAACGAUGUCAACUAGUUGUCGGGCCUUAACGGGCUUGGUAACGUAGCUAACGCGUGAAGUUGACCGCCUGGGGAGUACGAUCGCAAGAUUAAAACUCAAAGGAAUUGACGGGGACCCGCACAAGCGGUGGAUUAUGUGGAUUAAUUCGAUGCAACGCGAAAAACCUUACCUACCCUUGACAUGUAUCGAAGCCCGCAGAGAAGCGGGUGUGCCCGAAAGGGAACGAUAACACAGGUGCUGCAUGGCUGUCGUCAGCUCGUGUCGUGAGAUGUUGGGUUAAGUCCCGCAACGAGCGCAACCCUUGUCAUUAAUUGCCAUCAUUUAGUUGGGCACUUUAAUGAGACUGCCGG
rnacentral:rRNA from 1 species